GCAUUGCUGACGAGUCAAAAACAGGACGAAACAGCUGUUCAGUGC
rnacentral:hammerhead_ribozyme from 1 species